rnacentral:rRNA from 1 species
ACAGAGGGUGCGAGCGUUGUCCGGAAUCACUGGGCGUAAAGGGCGCGUAGGCGGCCCGAUAAGUAGGGGGUGAAAUCCUGUGGCUUAACUGCAGGGCUGCCUCCUAGACUGUCAGGCUCGAGCACGGUAGAGGCAGAUGGAAUUCCCGGUGUAGCGGUGGAAUGCGUAGAGAUCGGGAAGAACAUCGGUGGCGAAGGCGGUCUGCUGGGCCGUUGCUGACGCUGAGGCGCGACAGCGUGGGGAGCAAACAGGA